rnacentral:piRNA from 1 species
UGACAUAAACAGCGCAGAGAAUGGGACC